rnacentral:rRNA from 1 species
AGGGAAUAGAUACCCCGGUAGUCCACGCCGUAAACGAUGGGCACUAGGUGCUGGGGGGAGCGACCCCUUCAGUGCCGCAGCUAAACGCGAUAAGUGCCCCGCCUGGGGAGUACGGCCGCAAGGCUGAAACUCAAAGGAAUUGACGGGGGCCCGCACAAGCGGUGGAGCAUGUGGUUUAAAUUCGAAGCAACGCGAAGAACCUUACCUAGGUUUGACAUGUAGCUGAAAGCCUCUGGAAACAGGGGCCCUUCUUCGGAACAGCUACACAGGUGCUGCAUGGCUGUCGUCAGCUCGUGUCGUGAGAUGUCGGGUUAAGUCCCGCAACGAGCGCAACCCUUGCCCCGUGUUACUAACAGGUAAACGCUGAGGACUCUCGGGGGUACUGCCGGCGUCAAGCCGGAGGAAGGUGGGGACGACGUCAAGUCAUCAUGGCCCUUACGCCUAGGGCGACACACGUGCUACAAUGGCGAGGACAGAGGGCAGCGAAGCGGCAACGUGAAGCGAAUCCCAGAAACCUCGUCUAAGUUCGGAUUGUGGGCUGCAACUCGCCC